rnacentral:lncRNA from 10 species
CGUGUAGGGUGUGGUCAUCCCGGUGCUUGACACUUAGCGACCACUCUGUAAAUAACUGAGUCCUGCUGGUGUUGCCAUCACACACACACACUCGUGCACACAGCACAUGCACACAUGACAUGCCCGUGCACCACACCACAUGCAAGCACUCACACACACCACAUGCACUCACACCACAUGCACUCACACACACCACAUGCAUGCACUCACACACGUAUGCAUUCACACACACCACAUGCACUCACACACACCACAUGCAUGCACUCACACCACAUGCAUGCACUCACACACACCACAUGCACUCACACCACAUGCACUCACACACACCACAUGCACUCACACACACCACAUGCACUCACACCACAUGCAUUCACACACACACCACAUGCACUCACACCACAUGCAUUCACAUGCACCACAUGCACUCACACCACACGCAUGCACUCACACACACCACAUGCACUCACACCACAUGCACUCACACCACAUGCAUGCACUCACACCACAUGCAUGCACUCACACACCACAUGCAUGCACUCACCACAUGCAUGCACUCACACACACCACAUGCAUG